GCUCUUCCGAUCUCGAAAAGAACCCCGGCGAGGGGAGUGAAAAAGAACCUGAAACCGUGUACGUACAAGCAGUGGGAGCACAGGUUUACCUGUGUGACUGCGUACCUUUUGUAUAAUGGGUCAGCGACUUAUAUUCUGUAGCAAGGUUAACCGCAUAGGGGAGCCGGAGGGAAACCGAGUCUUAAUUGGGCGUUAAGUUGCAGGGUAUAGACCCGAAACCCGGUGAUCUAGCCAUGGGCAGGUUGAAGGUUGGGUAACACUAACUGGAGGACCGAACCGACUAAUGUUGAAAAAUUAGCGGAUGACCUGUGGCUGGGGGUGAAAGGCCAAUCAAACCGGGAGAUAGCUGGUUCUCCCCGAAAGCUAUUUAGGUAGCGCCUCGUGAAUUCAUCUCCGGGGGUAGAGCACUGUUUCGGCUAGGGGGCCAUCCCGGCUUACCAACCCGAUGCAAACUGCGAAUACCGGAGAAUGUUAUCACGGGAGACACACGGCGGGUGCUAACGUCCGUCGUGAAGAGGGAAACAACCCAGACCGCCAGCUAAGGUCCCAAAGUCAUGGUUAAGUGGGAAACGAUGUGGGAAGGCCCAGACAGCCAGGAUGUUGGCUUAGAAGCAGCCAUCAUUUAAAGAAAGCGUAAUAGCUCACUGGUCGAGUCGGCCUGCGCGGAAGAUGUAACGGGGCUAAACCAUGCACCGAAGCUGCGGCAGCGACGCUGAUGCGUUGUUGGGUAGGGGAGCGUUCUGUAAGCCUGUGAAGGUGGCCUGUGAGGGUUGCUGGAGGUAUCAGAAGUGCGAAUGCUGACAUAAGUAACGAUAAAGCGGGUGAAAAGCCCGCUCGCCGGAAGACCAAGGGUUCCUGUCCAACGUUAAUCGGGGCAGGGUGAGUCGACCCCUAAGGCGAGGCCGAAAGGCGUAGUCGAUGGGAAACGGGUUAAUAUUCCCGUACUUGGUGUUACUGCGAAGGGGGGACGGAGAAGGCUAUGUUGGCCGGGCGACGGUUGUCCCGGUUUAAGCGUGUAGGUGUGUGUUCCAGGUAAAUCCGGUUCACUUUAACACUGAGGCGUGAUGACGAGGCACUACGGUGCUGAAGCAACAAAUGCCCUGCUUCCAGGAAAAGCCUCUAAGCAUCAGGUAACAUCAAAUCGUACCCCAAACCGACACAGGUGGUCAGGUAGAGAAUACCAAGGCGCUUGAGAGAACUCGGGUGAAGGAACUAGGCAAAAUGGUGCCGUAACUUCGGGAGAAGGCACGCUGACAUGUAGGUGAAGUGAUUUACUCACGGAGCUGAAGUCAGUCGAAGAUACCAGCUGGCUGCAACUGUUUAUUAAAAACACAGCACUGUGCAAACACGAAAGUGGACGUAUACGGUGUGACGCCUGCCCGGUGCCGGAAGGUUAAUUGAUGGGGUCAGCGCAAGCGAAGCUCCUGAUCGAAGCCCCGGUAAACGGCGGCCGUAACUAUAACGGUCCUAAGGUAGCGAAAUUCCUUGUCGGGUAAGUUCCGACCUGCACGAAUGGCGUAAUGAUGGCCAGGCUGUCUCCACCCGAGACUCAGUGAAAUUGAACUCGCUGUGAAGAUGCAGUGUACCCGCGGCAAGACGGAAAGACCCCGUGAACCUUUACUAUAGCUUGACACUGAACAUUGAGCCUUGAUGUGUAGGAUAGGUGGGAGGCUUUGAAGUGUGGACGCCAGUCUGCAUGGAGCCGACCUUGAAAUACCACCCUUUAAUGUUUGAUGUUCUAACGUGGACCCGUUACCCGGGUUGCGGACAGUGUCUGGUGGGUAGUUUGACUGGGGCGGUCUCCUCCUAAAGAGUAACGGAGGAGCACGAAGGUUGGCUAAUCCUGGUCGGACAUCAGGAGGUUAGUGCAAUGGCAUAAGCCAGCUUGACUGCGAGCGUGACGGCGCGAGCAGGUGCGAAAGCAGGUCAUAGUGAUCCGGUGGUUCUGAAUGGAAGGGCCAUCGCUCAACGGAUAAAAGGUACUCCGGGGAUAACAGGCUGAUACCGCCCAAGAGUUCAUAUCGACGGCGGUGUUUGGCACCUCGAUGUCGGCUCAUCACAUCCUGGGGCUGAAGUAGGUCCCAAGGGUAUGGCUGUUCGCCAUUUAAAGUGGUACGCGAGCUGGGUUUAGAACGUCGUGAGACAGUUCGGUCCCUAUCUGCCGUGGGCGCUGGAGAACUGAGGGGGGCUGCUCCUAGUACGAGAGGACCGGAGUGGACGCAUCACUGGUGUUCGGGUUGUCAUGCCAAUGGCACUGCCCGGUAGCUAAAUGCGGAAGAGAUAAGUGCUGAAAGCAUCUAAGCACGAAACUUGCCCCGAGAUGAGUUCU
rnacentral:rRNA from 1 species